rnacentral:tRNA from 1 species
GGGGAGAUACCAAAGCGGUCAACUGGGGCAGACUGUAAAUCUGUUGGCUAAGCCUUCGGAGGUUCAAUCCUCCUCUCCCC